UACGUAGGGUGCGAGCGUUGUCCGGAAUUAUUGGGCGUAAAGGGCUCGUAGGCGGUGUGUCGCGUCGGCCGUGAAAACCUGCAGCUUAACUGUGGGCUUGCGGUCGAUACGGGCAUCACUGGAGUUCGGCAGGGGAGACUGGAAUUCCUGGUGUAGCGGUGGAAUGCGCAGAUAUCUGGAGGAACACCGGUGGCGAAGGCGGCAUCCUGGACCGACAUUGACGCUGAGGCGCGAAAGCCAGGGGAGCAAACGGG
rnacentral:rRNA from 1 species